ACGGAGGGUGCGAGCGUUAAUCGGAAUCACUGGGCGUAAAGCGCACGUAGGCGGUGUCGUAAGUCGGAUGUGAAAGCCCUCGGCUCAACCGGGGAACUGCAUUCGAUACUGCAAGGCUUGAGUGCCGGAGAGGGAGGCGGAAUUCCAGGUGUAGGGGUGAAAUCCGUAGAUAUCUGGAGGAACACCAGUGGCGAAGGCGGCUUACUGGGCGGUAACUGACGCUGAGGUGCGAAAGCGUGGGGAGCAAACAG
rnacentral:rRNA from 1 species